CCUACGGGUGGCAGCAGUGGGGAAUAUUGGGCAAUGGAGGAAACUCUGACCCAGCAACGCCGCGUGAAGGAUGAAGGUUUUCGGCUUGUAAACUUCUGUCGCGAGGGACGACGAAUGACGGUACUUCGUACGAACGCCGCGGCAAACUACGUGCCAGCAGCCGCGGUAAUCUGUAGGGGGCGAGCGUUGUCCGGAAUGACUGGGCGUAAAGGGAGUGUAGGCGGGUCUUUAAGGUAUAUGUGAAAUCAGGCGGCUCAACCGUAGAAGUGCAUUUAAACCUGGGGAGCUGGAGGGCAGAAGAGGCGAGUGGAAUUCCAAGUGUAGCGGUGGAAUGCGUAGAUAUUAGGAAGAACACCAGGGGCGAAGGCGGCUCACUGGACUGUAACUGACGCUGAGGCUCGAAAGCAUGGGGAGCAAACAGGAUUAGAUACCCGAGUAGUC
rnacentral:rRNA from 1 species